CCCGUUAUCUGAGCUAAGAUCAUGUGUAGUAUCUGUUCUUUGCAGUGUAAUUUCUGCAACGGUCUAUAAACUGAGACCAAUGAAAUUACCUGUAUUUUUCAUCUCCGGACGGGUGCUGUGAGCUUGCUCAACCCCAUCCACGGGUCGGCCACGUAUUGCAUUACCUCGAUUCAUUGGUGUUAGGUUA
rnacentral:snRNA from 1 species